rnacentral:rRNA from 1 species
ACUGCUCAGUAACACGUGGACAACCUACCCAAGAGUCAGGGAUAACCCCGGGAAACUGGGGAUAAUACCUGAUAGGCCACGACAUCUGGAAUCGAGUCGUGGUUUAAACGCAAGGCUCUUGGAUGGGUCUGCGGCGGAUUAGGUUGUUGCCGGUGUAACGUACCAGCAAGCCUGUAAUCCGUACGGGUUGUGGGAGCAAGAGCCCGGAGAUGGAUUCUGAGACACGAAUCCAGGCCCUACGGGGCGCAGCAGGCGCGAAAACUCUACAAUGCAGGCAACUGCGAUAGGGGAACAUCGAGUGGCACCCACCAUGGGUGUCUGUCCAGCCGUCUAAAAAACGGCUGUUAGCAAGGGCCGGGCAAGACCGGUGCCAGCCGCCGCGGUAAUACCGGCGGCUCGAGUGGUGGCCGAUAUUAUUGAGUCUAAAGGGUCCGUAGCCGGCUUUGCAAGUCCCCUGGGAAAUCCAGCGGCUUAACCGUUGGGCUUUCAUGGGAUACUACAUUGCUUGGGACUGGGAGAGGUAGGAGGUACUCAGGGGGUAGGGGUGAAAUCCUGUAAUCCUCUGGGGACCACCGGUGGCGAAGGCGUCCUACCAGAACAGGUCCGACGGUGAGGGACGAAAGCUAGGGGCACGAACCGGAUUAGAUACCCGGGUAGUCCUAGCCGUAAACGAUGCUCGCUAGGUGUCACGGCAGUCGUGAAUUGUCGUGGUGCCGUAGGGAAGCCGUGAAGCGAGCCACUUGGGAAGUACGACCGCAAGGUUGAAACUUAAAGGAAUUGGCGGGGGAGCAC